rnacentral:rRNA from 1 species
UUGGAGGGCAAGUCUGGUGCCAGCAGCCGCGGUAAUUCCAGCUCCAAUAGCGUAUAUUAAAGUUGUUGCAGUUAAAAAGCUCGUAGUUGAAUUUCGGGAUUAGUACGUCGGUCGUGCCUUAGGUACGUACUGGUAUUACUGGUUCCUACCUUCUGACGAACCAUCAUGUCAUUAAUUUGGCAUGGUGGGGAAUCAGGACUGUUACUUUGAAAAAAUUAGAGUGUUUAAAAGCAGGCUCGCGCUUGAAUACAUUAGCAUGGAAUAAUGAAAUAGG